rnacentral:rRNA from 1 species
AUUGAACGCUGGCGGCAGGCCUAACACAUGCAAGUCGAACGAGUGGCGGACGGGUGAGUAAUGUCUGGGAAACUGCCUGAUGGAGGGGGAUAACUACUGGAAACGGUAGCUAAUACCGCAUACCAUCGGAUGUGCCCAGAUGGGAUUAGCUUGUUGGUGGGGUAACGGCUCACCAAGGCGACGAUCCCUAGCUGGUCUGAGAGGAUCCCCAGCCACACGGGAACUGUGAAACGGUCCAGACUCCUACGGGAGGCAGCAGGGGGGAAUAUUGCACAAGGGGCGCAAGAAUGAUGCAGCCAUGCCGCGUGUAUGAAGAAGGACGUCGGGUUGUAAAGUACUGUCAGCGGGGAGGCGGUACCCGCAGAAGAAGCACCGGCUAACUCCGUGCCAGCAGCCGCGGUAAUUC